CAGCAGCCGCGGGAAUACCGAGGGUGCGAGCGUUAAUCGGAUUUACUGGGCGUAAAGCGUGCGUAGGCGGCUAAUUGAGUCGGAUGUGAAAUCCCCGAGCUUAACUUGGGAAUUGCAUUCGAUACUGGGAAGCUAGAGUAUGGGAGAGGAUGGUAGAAUUCCAGGUGUAGCGGUGAAAUGCGUAGAGAUCUGGAGGAAUACCGAUGGCGAAGGCAGCCAUCUGGCCUAAUACUGACGCUGAGGUACGAAAGCAUGGGGAGCAAACAGGAUUAGAUACCCGCGUAGUCCCUGUCUCUUAUAC
rnacentral:rRNA from 1 species